rnacentral:rRNA from 1 species
AUCGGAAUUACUGGGCGUAAAGCGCGCGUAGGUGGUUCGUUAAGUUGGAUGUGAAAGCCCCGGGCUCAACCUGGGAACCGCAUCCAAAACUGGCGAGCUAGAGUAUGGCAGAGGGUGGUGGAAUUUCCUGUGUAGCGGUGAAAUGCGUAGAUAUAGGAAGGAACACCAGUGGCGAAGGCGACCACCUGGGCUAAUACUGACACUGAGGUGCGAAAGCGUGGGGAGCAAACAGGAUUAGAUACCCUGUAGUCCACGCCGUAAACGAUGUCGACUAGCCGUUGGGAUCCUUGAGAUCUUAGUGGCGCAGCUAACGCAUUAAGUCGACCGCCUGGGGAGUACGGCCGCAAGGUUAAACUCAAAUGAAUUGACGGGGGCCGCACAAGCGGUGGAGCAUGUGGUUAAUUCGAAGCAACGCGAAGAACCUUACCAGGCCUUGACAUGGCAGAGAACUUUCCAGAGAUGGAUUGGUGCCUUCGGGAACUCUGACACAGGUGCUGCAUGGCUAUCGUCAGUCCG